AAAGGGGGACCGAUUUCCCCCCCCCCCCCAAAUCCCUGGGGGCCCAAAGAAUUACCCCCCCCAAAAAAACCUUUUGAAAAAAAAAAAACCGGCCCAAAGAAAAAAACGGGGGGGGGGGCCCGAGGUAUGGAACCCCCGGAAAAAGGGGUGGGAAUCGGCCUUUUUUCACCUUUUUCAAAAAUUUUUUUGGGGUAACAAAAAAAAAUCACCGGCGCAAUGCCCCCGCAAACCGUUUUGGGUUGUUUUUUAAAUUAUUGGGCCCCCGUUUUCCGCAAAAGCAAAAAAAAGGGGUAUGGUUGGGGCCCCAAAAAAAAGGGGGAAAUAUAAAAAAAAAAAAAAAAAAUUUUGGGUGGGGGAAAAAAAAAAAAAAAAAAAAAAAUUGGUUUGCCCCCAAACGAAAAAUCCCCCCCGGGGAAAAAAGUGAAAAAAAUUUUUUGGAAUUUCAAAACCCCCAAAAACCAAAUCCCCAUAAAAACCAAAAAACCAACCGGAAGGGGAAAAACCCCCCCCCCCUUUUUAAAACCCCCCCUCAAAAUGCUUUUUUGUUUGGUAAUGUGAAAAAGGAAAAAAAAAUUGCCCAACGAAAAUGCAAAUAAAAUCCCCGGGCCUUUUUUUUUUUUUUCAGGGACCCCCCCUUUUUGAAAAUGGCCCUCCCCCCCCCAAAAAUUUUUUGGGGGGGGGCCCGGGAAAAAAUUUUAUGCCCCCCCACCGUGGGAAAAGGGUUUUGGCCUUUUUUUGGUUGCCCCCCGCUUGGGGGGCCCAAAAAAAAAACAUGUUUGUUUUUUUUUUUUGCC
rnacentral:rRNA from 1 species